rnacentral:ncRNA from 1 species
AAAAAAUGAAAUCGUUUGUAUAGACCGACUUUUUGAGUGCUAAGAUCCAACGUCGAGAGGGAAACAACCCAAAUCUUAAGGUCCCUAACCAAUCACUUAGUGGAAAAGGAAGUGAUUGAGCAUUGACAACUAAGAGGUGGGCUUGGGAGCAGCUACCAUUUGAAGAAAUUGAAGUAGCUCACUGGUCUAGCUCCAUGACACCGAAAAUGUAUCCGUACUCAAGUAAUUCACAGAUGCGAUGAGACCUUAAAAGCUGUUUUUUCAAGUA